GACGAACCGUGCGAACGUUAUUCGGAAUCACUGGGCUUAAAGCGCGUGUAGGCGGCCCGGCACGUCCGUCGCUGAAAUCCCCCGGCUCAACCGGGGAAGUGGCGUGGAUACGGCCGGGCUGGAGGGGGGUAGGGGAGCCGGAACUUCCGGUGGAGCGGUGAAAUGCGUUGAGAUCGGAAGGAACGCCCGUGGCGAAAGCGGGCUCCUGGACCCCACCUGACGCUGAGACGCGAAAGCCAGGGGAGCGAACGGG
rnacentral:rRNA from 1 species